UGUCACGCUCAGCCGGUGCUCCCGCGUCAGGUGCUCCGAGGGUGCACGGCUGCCCCGCGAGAACCACUCCCUGCCGCCCAACCUGCGCCUCAGCGACCUGGUGCAGGGGCCUGGAGCCAACCCCAGAGAUGUGGGAGCUGGUGCCCCAGCAGAGGAGAGUGCCCAGACAGAGCUAGAGAACUCCCUGGUGCUCAGCAACCGUGGUGAGGGGCGCUUUGGUGGGCGAGCAGCCUUGGAAGCUGUGCUGCAGAUGCGCUGACCCACAGCUGCUCCAGAAGGCUACGGCUAUCCUUGUCUUUGCCCUGCAGGUUUCAUCUGGUUCCCAAUGGGUGGCUACAUUUACAAAGUGUCCAGCACCAGCAGCGAUGAGAUCUGGCUGUGAGAUGUUGGCAUGACACUUGUGAGCCUGGGUUAACCCUCUCCAGGGAAGUCUAUCAGCUCGCAGCACUGCAGCCCCUUCCCAAGCCACUGUUCCCAUCAGACCCUUCCAUGAUCCCAGCCCGCAACCAGACUCCCUCCAUGAUGUGGGCCAGCACUCCAGGUGGGACACGAGCAAUACUGCAAGCCUCUGAAACCUCCGCGUCUUCCUCACUCACCACUCUGGUGGUACCUGUCUUUCUUGGCUCUGGCCUGCCAGGAGCCCAGCUGUUCUCGCUCAGGACCAACAGUGCAGACUAGCUCUGG